GUGGGGAAUUUUGGACAAUGGGCGCAAGCCUGAUCCAGCAAUGCCGCGUGCAGGAAGAAGGCCUUCGGGUUGUAAACUGCUUUUGUACGGAACGAAACGGUCCGGGUUAAUACCCUGGGCUAAUGACGGUACCGUAAGAAUAAGCACCGGCUAACUACGUGCCAGCAGCCGCGGUAAUACGUAGGGUGCAAGCGUUAAUCGGAAUUACUGGGCGUAAAGCGUGCGCAGGCGGUUUUGUAAGACAGGCGUGAAAUCCCCGGGCUCAACCUGGGAAUUGCGCUUGUGACUGCAAGGCUGGAGUGCGGCAGAUGGGGAUGGAAUUCCGCGUGUAGCAGUGAAAUGCGUAGAUAUGCGGAGGAACACCGAUGGCAAAGGCAAUCCCCUGGGCCUGUACUGACGCUCAUGCACGAAAGCGUGGGGAGCAAACAGGAUUAGAUACCCUGGUAGUCC
rnacentral:rRNA from 1 species